GUGCGUAAUGCGCACUUGGUGUUUUAUCCUUGAGUCGGAAGGCUGAUGUUAUGCCCAUGACUCGUGCUACUAUACUGUGCGUGAGCGCGUUUGUGUGCGUGCGGGCUGUGCAGAAUCGAGUCUUAUCUGAAAGUUACUCACCGCCGCCGCCGCCGCGUUCGAUUUACACCGAGAAUGGCUUUUGCCGCUCAGCGCAGAAGUUGAAUUGGCCAUAAAGAAUUAACGAGCUGAACUGAAAUCUUCCCCAUUUUUGCCCAACGCAUUGGACGAAUCGCAUCAAAGUAUAGGACAGCCACAGCCCUCUUUUUCUCGGGUUACCAUGGUGACAAAGGUGGCCAUCAUGUAUCAUGGGCGUGGAACACCAAUCCCAGAAGACAUCAAGGACAUCAAACGAGAUACAUCUGAUAUUGAUUUUACUAAGCUACGGAUAUUUUUCGAUUAUUUAUAAAUAUGUGUUCAAACUUUUUUUAUUAGAAUACGGCCACGUAUUUAAGAUUACGCAAUAAAAAAUAAUAUAAAUUUUAAAUAAAACUCAUACUAAGAAGAAA